rnacentral:rRNA from 1 species
AUUGAACGCUGGCGGCAUGCCUUACACAUGCAAGUCGAACGGCAGCACGGACUUCGGUCUGGUGGCGAGUGGCGAACGGGUGAGUAAUGUAUCGGAACGUACCUUUCAGUGGGGGAUAACGUAGCGAAAGUUACGCUAAUACCGCAUAUUCUGUGAGCAGGAAAGCAGGGGAUCGAAAGACCUUGCGCUGAUUGAGCGGCCGAUAUCAGAUUAGCUAGUUGGUGGGGUAAAGGCCUACCAAGGCGACGAUCUGUAGCGGGUCUGAGAGGAUGAUCCGCCACACUGAAAUGGGGACCCGGGCCGGAACCCUCGGGGGGCAGGCGGGGGGGAAUUUUGGACAAGGGGGGCAACCCUGAUCCAGCCGUGCCGGGUGGGGGAAGAAGGCCUUCGGGUGGUAAAGUCUUUUCGGCCGGGAAAAAACCGCAUAGGCUAAUACCCUGUGGGGAUGACGGUACGGGAAAAGGAAGCACCGGCUAACUAGG